rnacentral:rRNA from 1 species
AUCUACCACCGUGCUACCCUGAACAAGCUUGAUCUCAUAAGCUAAGCAGAGUCGGGCCUGGUUAGUACUUGGAUGGGAGACCACCUAGGAAGACCAGGUGCUGUAGGCA